CCUACGGGUGGCAGCAGUGAGGAAUAUUGGUCAAUGGACGAGAGUCUGAACCAGCCAAGUAGCGUGAAGGAUGACUGCCCUAUGGGUUGUAAACUUCUUUUAUAUGGGAAUAAAAUGUUCCACGUGUGGGAUUUUGUAUGUACCAUAUGAAUAAGGAUCGGCUAACUCCGUGCCAGCAGCCGCGGUAAUACGGAGGAUCCGAGCGUUAUCCGGAUUUAUUGGGUUUAAAGGGAGCGUAGGUGGAUUGUUAAGUCAGUUGUGAAAGUUUGCGGCUCAACCGUAAAAUUGCAGUUGAAACUGGCAGUCUUGAGUACAGUAGAGGUGGGCGGAAUUCGUGGUGUAGCGGUGAAAUGCUUAGAGAUCACGAAGAACUCCGAUUGCGAAGGCAGUUCACUGGACUGCAACUGACACUGAGGCUCGAAAGUGUGGGUAUCAAACAGGAUUAGAUAUCCGAGUAGUC
rnacentral:rRNA from 1 species